AGUGAACGCUGGCGGUAGGCCUAACACAUGCAAGUCGAACGGCAGCACAGUAAGAGCUUGCUCUUACGGGUGGCGAGUGGCGGACGGGUGAGGAAUACAUCGGAAUCUACUUUUUCGUGGGGGAUAACGUAGGGAAACUUACGCUAAUACCGCAUACGACCUACGGGUGAAAGCAGGGGAUCUUCGGACCUUGCGCGAUUGAAUGCGCCGAUGUCGGAUUAGCUAGUUGGCGGGGUAAAGGCCCACCAAGGCGACGAUCCGUAGCUGGUCUGAGAGAAUGAUAAGCCACACUGGAACUGAGACACGGUCCAGACUCCUACGGGAGGCAGCAGUGGGGAAUAUUGGACAAUGGGCGCAAGCCUGAUCCAGCCAUACCGCGUGGGUGAAGAAGGCCUUCGGGUUGUAAAGCCCUUUUGUUGGGAAAGAAAAGCAGAAGGUUAAUACCCCGCUGUUCUGACGGUACCCAAAGAAUAAGCACCGGCUAACUUCGUG
rnacentral:rRNA from 1 species